CGCGCACACACCGCCCGUCACUCUCCCCAAGCCAACUUACACCCUAUAAAUAAUUUAUUUUACCGGUAAAGGGGAGGCAAGUCGUAACAUGGUAAGUGUACCGGAAGGUGCACUUGGCGAAAU
rnacentral:rRNA from 1 species